GCGUGACUUUACUAUAUUAACCUUAGAUUUCAUUUAUGCAAAAUGUCAUCUCUUAUCUCUUAUUUUUAAAUGUUAACCCGUGACGCAAUAUUAACCCUAUAUUUAACCUAAUUUUUUCAUGUGACUUUACUAUAUUAACCCUAGAUUUAAUUUAUGCAAAAUGUCAUCUCUUAUUUCUAAAUGUUAACCCGUGAUGCAAUAUUAAUCCUAGAUUUAACCUAUUUUUUCGCGUGACUUUACUAUAUUAACCCUAGAUUUAAUUUAUGCAAAAUGUCAUCUCUAAUUUUAACCUAAUUUUUCCCCCCACACUUUUGCAUUUAAUGUUUAUCUAAAGUAAAAUAAAAGUAUGUUCCCAAUUAUAUGUUGUUUUUUUUUAAGGAAUAACCGUUAACCCGUCUCGCUAUACUUAACUUAAUCUCUUACUUAUAAAUGUUAACCCGUCUUGCUAUACUUAACCUAUUUUAUUUUAUUUCUUAAAGUUAACCUGGACGCAAAAUUUUGCCCUAGAAUUAACCUAACUUCUUUGCUUAAUUUUACUGUAUUAAUCCUAUUUAAUUAACAUUGUUUAAUUUGAUCAAAAUGUUAACGUUAAUUGUUAGGGAAAUCAAAAUAAACAAAUCGCUCCUAAUUUUUCUCUUUAAUUUUACUAAACAAAUUAUAUUAACCCUAGAUUUAAUUUAUGCAAAAUG
rnacentral:lncRNA from 1 species